UUUCCCUUGAAUCUGGGUAGCAAAUGAAGGAACGACACACUCUCAGAGACUAAAGCUUGGGCUAAUUGUUUUAUUAAAGGUGCAAGCAACCCGUCCGGCCAUCUGUUACUUUUGUUGGACCCGCCAAAAAGUUUUCUCCUGUUCCUUUGUCCACUUCUUCAAACAUUUCCCCCCCCCCCCUGAGGGGAGCUUUCCUCCCCCAGCUCACCUGUGUCACAUCCUAUUCACUUCCUGGCCCCGGGACAUCUGUGGAACUUGCAUACUUGUAACAAAUGAUGGACAGCGUCAGGGGCAGCUCUGGUGAAGGAUGCCUCCUGAAGUCCACAAUCAUCUCCACAGUUUUUAGAGUGUUCAACGCAGGUUGUGUUGAUCACACCAAAGCUUCAGUCGCCCCACUUCCUGUCGUUACGCAGACUCAUCGCCGUCUUUGAUGAGGCCGAUGAACUUCAGGAGUUUGACAGUCAGGUGCCACGAGAUGCGCGAGGGAUUGCAUGAUAUGCGUUUUCAAUGGAAGUAUAACAAUGGUCUAGAGCAGGGGUCGGGAACCUUUUCGACUCAGAGAGCCAUUAAUGCCAAAUAUUUUAAAAUGUCAUUUCAAAAGAGCCAUACAGAUUUUUAAAAACUAAGUACAGGUGUAUUUGAGCAUUUAUGUAAGACCAACACUUUUAGAGUAUAAUAAAUCUCUACGCUAUUGCCAACCAAUAAUGACAAAAAUACUUUUUAUCAUUAAUGCGACUUCUGGUGCCUCAUGGUUUUGCUGAUGGCUUUAUAGUCUGUUUCAUAUGUUGUUAGAUUAGGGUUCAGCAGGCACUGAGAUUUACAGACAUUCAUCAUGAACGGAAUUCAUUUUGAUUUGCCAUCAUGAUGGUAUGUUGGCGAGCAGUUGUUGCCGACAAAGGCAUCUUUCAUUUGUUGAUAAUCAUCUUGUCUUUAUGCGAAAUUGUUUGGCAGCAUCAAUUGAAAUACUUGGGCAUAACUCCCCAUCUGUGAAUUUAGACACACAGCAGAACCAUCUCUCUCCACAAAGGCUGUCAAUUUUUGCUGAAAACGCCUCGUUUUUUUUUCUUUGCGCGACCUUUUUCAAAAUCUUUUCUAUAAUUAGUUGUUUCGACCCGAUCAGCGCUCACCCUUCUACGCCUGCGCACAUUGACUGCCACAGCAACUGCAGUAACCCGACUAGGACAAACUGUCUCUGUGUCAUUUGCGUUGCCUCCAAGACAGGAAUCAGACGUACAGAAUGUUUGUUAUGAGGGCUCUGAGAGCCAUACGCAACCAUCAAAAGAGCCAGAUAUGGCUCGUGAGUCAAAGGUUCAAGACCCCUGGUCAAGAGUGUUAUUUGCCCUCGGUGGAAAUUUCACAUGCUGCUUAUAUUUAGGGAGUUUGUGCUUAAGUUUGGCUGUGUUAAAAUCUCCUAGGAUGAUGAGCAGUGAAGCUGGGUGUUUUUUCUCAAUCUCAUUUAUCUUCUCAGUGAGGGUCAGCAUUGCUGCGUUCAUGCUAGCUUGAGGUGGAAUCUAAACACCGACUAGGAUGAAAUAUAUGAACUCACGUGACAAAUAACACGGUUUACAGUUCCAAAAAAAACAGCAACUCUAAAAGCGGACUGCAGUGUGUGCUGAGGUGUGUAACGUCCGUGCACCAUUUUUCAUUGAUAUAAAAGCAUAUUCCACCAGCUUUCGAUUUCCAUUUUAGCUCAACCACACGGUGAUGGAGGAGGAAGCCAGGCAGCGGGAUAGCAGCGUCGGGCACUCGUCCAAAAAGUCAAGUCUCCGUGAAGCACAGAGCCGCGGAACGUCAAAAUGUCGACAGGCGAACUCCUGUACCGGCUCACGUCUCUCUUCAUCGCGAGGCUUUGAAGCGCGCGCCAAUGAGCAACUCCGGAAAAAGACUCUCUGAUAGUUAGCAAGUCAACUCUUGAGUACUUGAGUACCGAGAUGCCCGAAAAACACACAAACAUACACAAUACCAGGGCGAACGUGCCGAAGGCUGCCACACUGGCAUUACAACGCAAAUCCAUGUAAGGAUCUUGGCCUUUGUAAAUCUGAGCAACAGUGUGCAAAAACAUAAGAACACACAAUGCCAUGACGAGUACCGCUUGCAGUUGAACCAGUAAUACCCCCGUGGGCCCAAUUUAUAUUGUAAGCAGGAGUUUGCUGACCAGCCGGCUUUAGCAGAUGGCCCAAAGCAUCCCGAAUAACCGUCAACCCUUCCACCACACUGGUAAUGUUAUACGAGUUAUUUGGUAUCAAAGUGGAGCAUGCAUAUCCUGUCAGGUUCAGAGAAACGCAUAAACCACCCUGCUGGACCAGAAUGUAGUCGAAUGCCAUGUCAUGUUUAAGUAGAGUUAGUCAAUGGCUACUUUGAGUGUUAAAUAAGAGCUCAAACCCCUUGAUCAUUUAUGAGCAAAUCCCUGCAAAGUAUGUGUUAUAUUAUCAAUGUGAUCUGCCAAAAAUGUCACUCCAUAGCAUGGGAAAAAUCCAAUGCCCCAUUUCUCUCCCCAAGUAAUUCGUCAAUAAUAAAGCUUCCAAAGCAUGAAACUGUGCCAUUUCUCAUUUCAUUCUGGAGUUUUGUACUCCCAUUUGAUGCUCUUUCGCUGCUCCUUUUCCUAUUUUAAUUCUUACAUCAUUAUAAGGAAGCUGUAAAUAUACUGUUGGACGCUUUUUUCCUCCCCGCGUGUUCGUUUAGUUUUGGGUAGUGAGAAUGUUGGUUAUCAGAAUACAGGCUGGAGAUGAUGAACAGUUUCUUCGAAGCUUUUACUUACAGAAUAUUCUGGGCACAAAUAAGUGACAGACAAUGGCUGUAGCAGAUCAGAAGUGCAAAGAUACAAAGGACUUGCAGCAUUUUUAUACUAUCAGAAGGGUCCG